AACGCACAUUGCGCCCCUUGGUAUUCCGGGGGGCACACCUGUUCGAGCGCCAUUUCAACCCUCAAGCAACGCUUGGUGUUGGGGGAGGGUUCUCAAGGACCCCCUCCGAAACCCGUAGGCGUCACCUUUGGCCCCCCUAGCGCAGCGGGCUCAACGCACGCGUCGGGGUGGUUUUAGGUGACCGCCCACCAUUUUUUCUCAAGGUUGGCCUCGGAUCAGGUGGGGAUACCCGCUGAACUUAA
rnacentral:misc_RNA from 1 species